rnacentral:lncRNA from 1 species
AUGACCAGCACGGCCUCGGGCGUGAGGCUCAGCGAGAAGCGCAGGGCGGCGUCCGGCCCGGCGCCCGAGGCGGCGGUCCGCGCCCCUGACGCCGCGGUCCCCGCGGGGCCGUCGCCGGAACCGGCCGGCCGUGACGCGCACGGGGCCGGGGCGCGCGGGGAGGCCGGGCCGGGGGCGCGGCGGGCCGGCGGCCGCUUCAGAGUGGCGGAGGGCCAGGAGCUGGACAGCGGCCCCGGCGGCCGCUCGGGAGGCCUCCUCUUCUUCUCGGCGGCCACGGCGGGCGGCGAGGGUCCGGGCGGGGCGCAGGCGGGCGCCGCCGCCUUGCGCGGGGCGCCGGGCUUCCGGGGCGGCGGGCGCGCGGCGGGGACCCCGGGGGCCGGGGUGGGCGGCGGCGGCGGCGCGGGCGGGAACGGCAUGGUGGUCAGCGCCCUGGAAGGAGAGGGGCGGCUACCGUGUGGGCGCGCCGAGCCCGGCGCCCUCCCCGGGGGGCCGCGGUCCGCCCCCCGCCCGCCCUCCGCACCCACCUGGGCUGGGCCGCGGCAUCUCCGGCGCACACACGCCCCCCGCGUCCACACCCAGGGCCCUGCGGCCGGGCACCCCGCUGCCUUCCUCCGUCCUGCCUUCCUUCCGGGGCCAGGGGCUCUGCCGGCUCUCCUCCGGGGACAGCGGCGGCCGGUCCACGCGGAGCCGGGCGCGCCCGCGGGAGGAGGAGCCGCUGUGCCCGCACGCCCGGCGCCGCGACUGGGCGGCCGAGGCUCCCCGGGCGACCUUCCACCGCGGGGGCUAAUCCAUCAGAGGCGGGGAAGGCCGGGCGUGUCCUCCGCCCGAGGCGGGGUCCUCGCACGUGGGCCAGAAAGUCGUGUGCCACCUCUCGGCGCUUCUAAGAUGGUGCGCAGGCCGGCGGCGGCGGGGGGACCGCGGGCCCCGCGCGCGGCCCGGCAUCCCAGUGUCGCGGGAGGAAGCUGGCCAGAGCUCAGAGGCGGGCACAGGCAUUUCAGGGCAUCCUUCUGGUUUUGUUUUUGGAUCAUGUUGAAAGACAAUCAUUUUAAAAUUAAAAACCUCGUAUUCCUUGACGAGGCAAAAAAAAAAAAAAGGCCAGUUUCGGUGAAAUCGUGA